CCCGGCGAGGGGAGUGAAAAAGAACCUGAAACCGUGUACGUACAAGCAGUGGGAGCACAGGUUUACCUGUGUGACUGCGUACCUUUUGUAUAAUGGGUCAGCGACUUAUAUUCUGUAGCAAGGUUAACCGUAUAGGGGAGCCGAAGGGAAACCGAGUCUUAACCGGGCGUUAAGUUGCAGGGUAUAGACCCGAAACCCGGUGAUCUAGCCAUGGGCAGGUUGAAGGUUGGGUAACACUAACUGGAGGACCGAACCGACUAAUGUUGAAAAAUUAGCGGAUGACCUGUGGCUGGGGGUGAAAGGCCAAUCAAACCGGGAGAUAGCUGGUUCUCCCCGAAAGCUAUUUAGGUAGCGCCUCGUGAAUUCAUCUCCGGGGGUAGAGCACUGUUUCGGCUAGGGGGCCAUCCCGGCUUACCAACCCGAUGCAAACUGCGAAUACCGGAGAAUGUUAUCACGGGAGACACACGGCGGGUGCUAACGUCCGUCGUGAAGAGGGAAACAACCCAGACCGCCAGCUAAGGUCCCAAAGUCAUGGUUAAGUGGGAAACGAUGUGGGAAGGCCCAGACAGCCAGGAUGUUGGCUUAGAAGCAGCCAUCAUUUAAAGAAAGCGUAAUAGCUCACUGGUCGAGUCGGCCUGCGCG
rnacentral:rRNA from 1 species